UACGUAGGGUGCGAGCGUUAAUCGGAAUUACUGGGCGUAAAGCGUGCGCAGGCGGUUUUUUAAGCCAGAUGUGAAAGCCCCGGGCUUAACCUGGGAAUGGCAUUUGGGACUGCAAGGCUUGAGUGCGGCAGAGGAGACUGGAAUUCCUGGUGUAGCAGUGAAAUGCGUAGAGAUCGGGAGGAACAUCAGUUGCGAAGGCGGCCACCUGGACCAGCACUGACACUGAGGCACGAAAGCGUGGGGAGCAAACAGG
rnacentral:rRNA from 1 species